rfam:Gossypium raimondii Chr11_contig_249, whole genome shotgun sequence.
UGUCAAAAAGUUAUUUACUUAUACUGUUAAAAAUUGGCAUGACUAAUGUAAUAAUGAGACAUUGGCACAUGGCGUGCCAUGUGCUACUUAUGCUAACAUAUAGGAACCAAUUUUUAACAAUAGAAAUAUACGGAACUUUUAACA